UCAGGGAGAGGGCAGCCUUGGCUUCAUUCAGAAUCAAAUGACAUUAUUUCCUCUUACCCAAUAUUAGUCAUAUGCUCAUCCCCUUUUUUUAUAGUAGAUGAACAGCUCUGUUUGGAUCUCCCUGAACUUCAAAAAGACCUUUGUAUGCAGAGCUGUUGCAGAGAGGCAAAUGAUUAUGGGAUCAUUUAUUUAUAUUAUUAUGGCACAAUAGAAGUCACUUUGGUCCUUGAAUGUGUUCCAGUGACUCAAGAUAUUUUUUCCGAUGUUUUCUGACCUCUGCUCCUUUUCAAAUUCUCCCAUCUCUGAUAAAUUAGCUUCAAAACCACAGAAAAACCACAGCUGUGUUUGUUCAUCAGGGGCAUGAAGAAUGAAAGUAACUGUUUUCAUGAGGAAUCUUCAAAGGAGAGAAGCAGGCAACGUGGCUCCCAGGAAAAUGGCUUGAACAGAACCCAUGAGAGGAAGGCUGUCAGUUCAUGGAAGGGUUAUUCAUGAUAAUUUAUCAUUGAGGUCUGGCAGCCAAGAUGGCCGAAUAGGAACAGCUCUGGUCUACAGCUCCCAGCGUGAGCGACGCAGAAGACGGGUGA
rnacentral:lncRNA from 1 species